rnacentral:lncRNA from 1 species
GUAGCUUCUUGACCAUCGAGGGUGCUUCCUUAGCAGCAGAUGUUGAAGCUCCUUUUUCAUGCAAGAUUGUUAGAUCUUCGGAUGGGGAAGGCAAGAUCUCUGCACUUGAGGUCGUUCUAGGGGUUGCAUUCAAGAUCCCUUCGUCAUCGGCCUCGUUUAGAGGACCCAAGAGACUGACUGUAAGACCCACAACUGUAUUUAUUAUUGUGUUAUUUUCGGCCAUAUUUCAUUUUUGUGUGGUGUAGAGAAUGGUUGUCAAUUGUUCUCUAGGUACAAACUAUGGUUUUGAUUUUCGAAAUCCCCACAGACGGCGCCAAAUGUUUAGUCUAAAAAGUUAUUGAUAUAGUUUGUAAGCUUAAAAACAAUCAAAAAUAAACGAUGGUAAAUCAUAAUCAAGUAUAAUAUGACCUUGAGAUGAAAUAACGAUAUUGUUAUUGUAGAUCUGAAAGAUAAAAAGAUGAUAUCCGCUUGAGAGAAAAGUAAUCGUUAGAGAUAGAGAUAGAGAUAGAGGGAGAGAGGAGUUGUAUUAUUCGAGAAUAAUCAUGAUGCUCUGUGACAGUGUGAAGGUCUCCUUUAUAUAAUAGGAUACUUUCCUUGAAAUAAUAAAAAGGGUACAAGAGUAAGUAGCGUCUCCUUAGUGAAGACACAAUGUAUUAAACGACGUCGCCUUUGUCCCCACAUCCAAGUCAUACCCUUGCUUUAGUCGAUGUACGCUUGAAGGUGUACCCAUCUACAUAGAGACAUCCGUGGUCAAAUUUGACCCUAUACACAAUCUAAUAUACAAUAAAAUAUUAUAUUUCAUGCAUUUAUUAAUUUAAUAUAUAUGAGAAUUUAUAAUCGUGGUUCCCUUAUCCUACUAUUUAAUUUUUGAUUUCGUUAGUAUUUUUAAUUGGGAGAGCCUACGGACUCCCUAUUGAUCAAUCUAGUUCUCGUCAUUUAAUGUGAUCUGAUCGAGUAGUGGUUUAAUAUCAUUGAAGUCUGUGGGAUAAAGCUUGAAUUGUAAACUUGCUUCGCGAUGUUGAUACUAUAUUGUCCAUGUAUGGGCGAAAACAUCAUUUUGUGUGUUUGAUCCGAUCAACAGAGAUAAAUCCUUUGAAGGCUUUGAUAUGUCAACCUGACUCCAAAAGAUUGAGAAGCAAACUCAAAAAUAAAUUAUAAAGAACAUUAAAUUUCAACAGGGAAAACCCUUCAAAUCAAAGGUAAAAAGAACGAGAUCACAAAGAUCCAAAAAGCUCUACUAUAACAAUAAGAGGGUUACAAAAGUUCUUCAAAUUGGGUACACAACAAGUGGCAAACAUGGAGAAACAAUAGCAGCAAGAACAAUAACUAAUCAAUUGAAGAAAGAGGAGAAUCGCAAAAUGAAGAUGCUAUUCGAGGCUCGAAAUCUG